rnacentral:rRNA from 1 species
ACUAACUCUAGCUCUAACACCUCACAACAUAAAUAAUUCCAACUAUAAAACAAAACAUUUAUACUUUAAGUAUCGGAGAGAGAAAGAUUACCUAGAAGCUAUAGAAAAAGUACCGUAAGGGAAAGAUGAAAGACAAAAUUAAAAGUAUAACCAAGCAAAGAUUAAAACUUGUACCUUUUGCAUAAUGAAUUAGCCAGAAUACCUCUAACAAAGAGACCUUAGCAAGAGACCCCGAAACCAAACGAGCUACUCAAGAGCAAUCUAUAGGACUAACCCUUCUAUGUGGCAAAAUAGUGGGAAGACUUCUGAGUAGUGGUGAAAAGCCUACCGAGCUUGGUGAUAGCUGGUUACCCACCUAAUGAAUCUCAGUUCAACUUUAAGAUUACCAUACGGACAAACAACCUAAAUGUAAACUUAAAAUAUAGUCUAAAGAGGGACAGCUCUUUAGAAACGGAAACAACCUUUAGCAGUAAAUAAAAUAAAUUUAUAACCAUUGUUGGCCUAAAAGCAGCCACCAAUAAAGAAAGCGUUCAAGCUCAAAAUAAAACUUAACUUAAUUCCAAUAACUCAUAAUGAUUUUCUGCUAUACAAGUGGGUUAAUCUAUUAUUAUAUAGAAGAGAUAAUGCUAAUAUGAGUAACAAGAAUAUUUUCUCCUAGCACAAGCUUAUAACAACCCGGAUAACCAUUGUUAAUUAACAAACUCUAAUUUAUAAACAUAAUAACAAAUCUACUUAGAUCCUAUAUGUUAGCCCAACACAGGAGUGCUUUAAGGAAAGAUUAAAAGAAAUAAAGGAACUCGGCAAACACGGGCCCCGCCUGUUUACCAAAAACAUCACCUCUAGCAUUACAAGUAUUAGAGGCACUGCCUGCCCAGUGACUUAAGUUUAACGGCCGCGGUAUCCUGACCGUGCAAAGGUAGCAUAAUCACUUGUUCCUUAAUUAGGGACUAGAAUGAACGGCAAAACGAGGGCCCAACUGUCUCUUAUUUCUAAUCAGUGAAAUUGACCUUUCCGUGAAGAGGCGGAAAUAAAAAUAUAAGACGAGAAGACCCUAUGGAGCUUUAAUCUAUUAACUUAAUAUAUGUAAUUACACAACCUAAUGGACUAACCACACAACAAAUAAGUUAAAGAUUUCGGUUGGGGUGACCUCGGAGAACAAAAAAACCUCCGAAAGAUAAUAGCCUAAACUCACAAGUUGAAGCAAUACAAUCUAAUUGACCCAAAAACUUGAUCAACGGACCAAGUUACCCUAGGGAUAACAGCGCAAUCCUAUUCAAGAGUCCAUAUCGACAAUUAGGGUUUACGACCUCGAUGUUGGAUCAGGACAUCCCAAUGGUGUAGAAGCUAUUAAAGGUUCGUUUGUUCAACGAUUAAAGUCCUACGUGAUCUGGAGUUCAGACCGGAGUAAUCCAGGUCGGUUUCUAUCUAUAUACGAUUUCUCCCAGUACGAAAGGACAAGAGAAAUGAAGCCUACUCUACAAUAGUGCUUCAAAAAAAUAUAUGAAAUUAUCUCAACCUAAUAACUCCGUAACACUAACACCCCUAGACUAGGGUAA